rnacentral:rRNA from 1 species
CGUGUAGGCGGGUAAGCAAGUCAGAUGUGAAAUACCGGGGGCUCAACUCCGGAACUGCAUCUGAAACUGCAUAUCUUGAGUACUGGAGAGGAAAGUGGAAUUCCUAGUGUAGCGGUGAAAUGCGUAGAUAUUAGGAGGAACACCAGUGGCGAAGGCGGCUUUCUGGACAGUAACUGACGCUGAGGCGCGAAAGCGUGGGGAGCAAACA